GCCUGGGUGGCUCAGUCGGUUGAGCAUCCGAGUUCAGCUCGGGUCACGAUCUCGCAGUCUGUGAGUUCGAGCCCCGCAUCGGGCU
rnacentral:tRNA from 1 species